rnacentral:lncRNA from 1 species
UGAGUUUAUUUAUUAGGAAAUUAAAAUAGAAGAAAUAGUAAGCUGUAAAGAUUAGAACAAGGUUUAUUGAUUGAACCAGUUAUUAUCAAUACCGAAUAUUUUUGCAGUUUUGGAUGAUCGCUUGUAAAUCUUUCGUGUUUGGACAACAUUGUUACGUCUUUCGUGACGUAUUAUUGUUAAGAACUGUAAUUCUGACGAUUGCUAAUUUGCA